rnacentral:rRNA from 1 species
GACGAACGCUGGCGGCGUGCUUAACACAUGCAAGUCGAACGAGUGGCGAACGGGUGAGUAACGCAUCGGAACGUACCGAGUAAUGGGGGAUAACUGUCCGAAAGGACAGCUAAUACCGCAUAUUAUUCGAGCGGCCGAUGUCUGAUUAGCUGGUUGGCGGGGUAAAGGCCCACCAAGGCGACGAUCAGUAGCGGGUCUGAGAGGAUGAUCCGCCACACUGGGACUGAGACACGGCCCAGACUCCUACGGGAGGCAGCAGUGGGGAAUUUUGGACAAUGGGCGCAAGCCUGAUCCAGCCAUGCCGCGUGUCUGAAGAAGGCCUUCGGGUUGUAAAGGACUUUUGUCAGGGAAGCGGUACCUGAAGAAUAAGCACCGGCUAACUACGUGCCAGCAGCCGCGGUAAUAC